GAUGAACGCUGGCGGCGUGCCUAAUACAUGCAAGUCGAGCGAACAGACGAGGAGCUUGCUCCUCUGACGUUAGCGGCGGACGGGUGAGUAACACGUGGAUAACCUACCUAUAAGACUGGGAUAACUUCGGGAAACCGGAGCUAAUACCGGAUAAUAUAUUGAACCGCAUGGUUCAAUAGUGAAAGACGGUUUUGCUGUCACUUAUAGAUGGAUCCGCGCCGCAUUAGCUAGUUGGUAAGGUAACGGCUUACCAAGGCGACGAUGCGUAGCCGACCUGAGAGGGUGAUCGGCCACACUGGAACUGAGACACGGUCCAGACUCCUACGGGAGGCAGCAGUAGGGAACCUUCCGCAAUGGGCGAAAGCCUGACGGAGCAACGCCGCGUGAGUGAUGAAGGUCUUCGGAUCGUAAAACUCUGUUAUUAGGGAAGAACAAAUGUGUAAGUAACUAUGCACGUCUUGACGGUACCUAAUCAGAAAGCCACGGCUAACUACGUG
rnacentral:rRNA from 1 species